GCCCUUAUAGCUCAGCUGGUAGAGCACCUCCAUGGUAAGGAGGGGGUCGACGGUUCAAUUCCGUCUGAGGGCU
rnacentral:tRNA from 1 species